rnacentral:lncRNA from 1 species
AUGUCUCCUGUCCCCAUCCGUGUGCUGUCCGCGUGCUCGGUGGGUGUCCCCUGUCCCCAUCCGUGUGCUGUCCGCGUGCUCGGUAGGUGUCCCCUGUCCCCAUCCGUGUGCUGUCCGCGUGCUCGGUGGAUGUCCCCUGUCCCCAUCCGUGUGCUGUCCGCGUGCUCGGUGGAUGUCCCCUGUCCCCAUCCGUGUGCUGUCCGCGUGCUCGGUGGAUGUCCCUGUCCCCAUCCGUGUGCUGUCCGCGUGCUCGGUGGAUGUCCCCUGUCCCCAUCCGUGUGCUGUCCGCGUGCUCGGUGGGUGUCCCCUGUCCCCAUCCGUGUGCUGUCCGCGUGCUCGGUGGGUGUCCCCUGUCCCCAUCCGUGUGCUGUCCGCGUGCUCGGUGGAUGUCCCCUGUCCCCAUCCGUGUGCUGUCCGCGUGCUCGGUGGAUGUCCCCUGUCCCCAUCCGUGUGCUGUCCGCGUGCUCGGUGGAUGUCCCCUGUCCCCAUCCGUGUGCUGUCCGCGUGCUCGGUGGAUGUCCCCUGUCCCCAUCCGUGUGCUCUCCGCGUGCUCGGUGGGUGUCCCCUGUCCCCAUCCGUGUGCUGUCCGCGUGCUCGGUGGGUGUCCCCUGUCCCCAUCCGUGUGCUGUCCGCGUGCUCGGUGGGUGUCUCCUGUCCCCAUCCGUGUGCUGUCCGCGUGCUCGGUGGGUGUCUCCUGUCCCCAUCCGUGUGCUGUCCGCGUGCUCGGUGGAUGUCUCCUGUCCCCAUCCGUGUGCUGUCCGCGUGCUCCGUGGAUGUCUCCUGUCCCCAUCUGUGUGCUGUCCGCGUGCUCGGUGGAUGUCUCCUGUCCCCUUGGUCAAGGGAAGGCCGUCCUUUCAGAGGCUCGGGCCAAACGCCUGGUACCUCUGGACCCCUCACUGGCUCUCACACCCCACAUCCAGCCCAUCAGCAUAUCCUCCCACCUCCACCUGCAAUCAGACCCUGAAUGCGUUUCUCUCCAGCCCUGCUGGUGCCAUCUGGUCCAGCGCCCUGGGCCCAGCUGGGCAGUGGCAGCUUCCCCGUGCUUGGCUCAGACGACCUCAGGGGGCUGCCCUCGCCCUGGGUGAAGCCCCAGUCCCGCGGGGCCCUGUGUCCAGGCCCGAGGCCCCUCUGGCCUCAGUCCUGCUCCCUUGGCUUGGCUCUACGGCUGCCCCACGGGCCUCCUCUCUCAGCCUGCCCAGCCCCUGCUUUUCUUCUCUCUGGAACGUUCAUCCUCCAGUUCCCACCCCCCAGAGCCCACUCUCCUGCCUCCCUCAAGGCUCAGCAUCCCAGAGGCCACCCCUGACCCCUGAUUCUUAA